GCACCGAAGGCGGAAGGGGACGACGCACACACCCGAUAAGUGUGUUAUUAGCAGGUUCGAGUCCUGCUCGGUGUACCA
rnacentral:tRNA from 1 species